rnacentral:rRNA from 1 species
UACGUAGGGUGCAAGCGUUAAUCGGAAUUACUGGGCGUAAAGCGUGCGCAGGCGGUUGUGCAAGGCCGAUGGGAAAUCCCCGGGCUUAACCUGGGAAUGGCAUUGGUGACUGCACGGCUAGAGUGUGUCAGAGGGGGGUAGAAUUCCACGUGUAGCAGUGAAAUGCGUAGAGAUGUGGAGGAACACCGAUGGCGAAGGCAGCCCCCUGGGUCAAGAUUGACGCUCAUGCACGAAAGCGUGGGGAGCAAACAGG